UAGGUAAGCCUAACUUGUACUGAAAUACAACGAUAAUAAAUAAAAUUUAACAGUAUCGAAGUAGAAAUCCCUACAAAAUUUAUGAUUCCCAAAACCUGGUAGUACAAUUCAUAAGCUCUACAGAGUUCGCUACAACUUCUAUAUACAACUGUUUGGAAGUAAAUACAACAAUGUGAAUAAAAAAUAGCAAGGUGACUCCGAAGCCAACGAACGUAGCAGCAGGGUUACCUUGAGUCUCCUCGGCAAGAAUACACAUAGCUACUAAUGAUCAAUAUCUAGAUCUGUACAAAUAUUUUUACAAAAAUGUAGUAUGAGCACACUACAGCGUUUCCUAGUAAAUAUCAAGACUAACCUCGGUGGAGUAGUGACGAGGAAUAGUCAAGAUUCCUACUGGUCUAAUAAACUAAACAAGUAUAAGUAUAUGAACAAUAGAACAUGAUAUCUAUAUAAAGACUACGCGAUAUGGCUAACAAUAUAGUAACUGCAAUAAGGAAGGAAACAACAAGUAACAUUAGAACACCAUAAUAAGGACACAGGAGAGUGAACGGAAAUACAACCUAAAUCUGAAAUCACAAAUAUAGUAAAGACAAGUAAUAACUCAACAACUACGAUAGUUUUCAUAUCAGGUCAUAGCCAACAAACUUCAAUCAAUUAGUCAAAACCUUCAAGUAUAAAUCUUUCACCCAUAAGUUUUUGAAUAUAAAUCUUUAGAAUAUAAUCCUUCCCAAUAAAGAUAUUUUGAAACAUACUUUUUUCAAAUAAAUAUCUUUCAAACAUAGUUCGUUCAAGAUAAAUACUUUUCGAGUAUAAAUUCUUCAAAUAAAUAUCCUUCGAAUAUAAGUCACCAUGUGAUACCUCAUUUCAUAAUCAUACAAUAUGGGUCUCAAUACGUGAACCCUAACCCUGGGCAUCCUAUGCCAUCAUCACAUCUCAUAACCGCACUGUAGACUCAUGUGCCAAAUACAGCCAUUCUUACAUGGAAGGCAAGUAAACAAGGGCGUGUGUGUCUAUACUCAGCAAUAUCAAGAAAAGCUCUUAUCUGAUAAGGGUGCUUAGCUCGUACCAGCUAGUAAGUAUAAGGAAAAGAAUGGACAACACGUAGAAUGUUUAAAAGAAUGUAAGCACAGAAGAUUAGUAGCUUAGAACACAGAUAUAACAACAGGGUAUCUCCCAGGAUACCGUCUCGUAGUCCCAAACGUAAUUGUGCACGGGAUCUCAUGGAAUAUCAUUUUGCAGUCCCAAAGUAAAUAUGCAGUGCUUGAGGAUCUCCCGGAAUAUCGUUUUAUAGUCCCAAAGUAAAUAUGCAGUAUAGGAGGAUUUUCCGAAAUACCGUUCUAUAUUCCCAUAGUAAAUAUGUAAGGGGAUCUCCCAGAAUACCAUUCCAUAAUCCCAAAGUAAAUAUUGUCACACCCAUUUUUUUCAAAACCUUCACUAACUCUCUUAAAUUAAUAAAAAGAUUAGUAAAGCUCAAAAGGGUUUUUAAUCAAAAAAUUGUGUUCAAAAGGAUUAACUUAGAGUCUCCACCUGACAUUGGUUUCGGUGUGCCAGGUCACCAUUUUUUUUUUUAAAAUAGUUUUUCUUUUUACAAUACUUAGGACUCCAAAACUAAGUCUGCACCAGAGAUUCGGGUAAGGAGGUUCAUUUGACCGUAGAGAAGGUGUUAGGUACUCCCCAAGUCCCGUACCUAGUACGGUUGCAUAAAUAAUCAAGUUGGAUUUUAGAAUAUUCGAAUUGAGGUAGAAAACAUGGAAAAAGCAAAAUAAACACACACGAGGCUCGAGGUUGUCCCCACCUAAUCAAAAGAAAAUGAAAAUAAAAAUUAAUGUACUACGAGUUCUACUAUCGAUCUCCAAGUACAAAUACUUCGGGGCAUACCCCGGAAUAAAAUAUAUACAAUUCCUUCGUGGCAUUCCUCGGAUAAAUAUAAUAAGGAACGACCUCUCGCCUCAAAAUCCAAACAAAAUCCUAAGGCUUGCCUACCCAAGUGUGGUCGGUCUAAAACAUACUUCUAGCGAGCACUAAUAACAUAAAUAAAGGAAAGCUAAGCAAAACGCUUCAUGACAUGCUCAUUUUUCAACAAUUAGUUUCAUUUACUAGACCAAACCCAAUCCAAUUAAUUGCAAAUACUAUCAUGACCUAUUUUAUGCUUUUGAUGAGUUUUCGCCUAAAACUAAUUAACCGAAGAUCACGUGCAUUCACCCUUCUAAGGAAACAAACUAAUUCAUUAAUGUCCCCAAAUAAUGUAUGAAAUGAAAAUCAAACAUAAAUUUUCAAACUUUGGAAAUAGCAGAACACUCAAAUGGCAUCAAAGAGCACAAAAUAUCAUUCAAAUAAAAGACAAGACAAAGCAAGGGGACAAGAAUGGAACCUUCUAUAGCAACACUUCUAUAUUUGAUUAAUGAGAAGACCAAGAAUAACUUGACUAUAUAUUGAUCUUUACAGCAGUGAUUGAACCAAAACCUUGACCAUAAAUCCUCGUCGGCAACCUCGACGAAAUCAAAUUAGCCCGUAGCUCAUUCACGAUCUAAUUCACUUGGAUAGGGAAGGAAACGAUAGCGUGCUGCUAAUUCCUCUCAUUCGCUGCCUCUGUUUUGCCCCUAUUCUUGAUUGUGCAUAUGUGUGUGGCUAUUUCUGGGCGACAGAGUUUGGUGGAGUAAGGAGCAGCGGCGCUGGUGUGAGCUGUUGUUUGAAUAGCGGCUAUAGAGAGUGACGAGGAUGGGAUUAGGUGGUUGUUUGGUGGGACGAUGGCUGGAGGAAUGGCGGGUUCAGGUGGUUGGUUCGAUGAGAUAAGAGAGGUCUUCGGCAGCUGCUUGUGUCUAGGGUUCUGCUGGUGGCAUGACAGUGAGAAAAUGAGAGGAAAUUCAGCUUGGGCGGCGGUUUAGGGUGGUUGUUUAUGGGUGGGAGCUGACGGGUUUCAAGGGUAUGUUCAGAUGAGGAAGAAGGCAGUCAUCGGUCUCCUUAGGGUUCAGCUCGAUGGGUG
rnacentral:lncRNA from 1 species